GACGAACGCUGGCGGCGUGCUUAACACAUGCAAGUCGAACGGAAAGGCCCUGCUUUUGUGGGUUGCUCGAGUGGCGAACGGGUGAGUAACACGUGUGUAACCUGCCCUUGACUUUGGGGUAACUUCAGGAAACUGGGGAUCAUACCGGAUAGGAGCUCCUGCUGCAUGGUGGGGGUUGGAAAGUUUCGGAGGUUGGGGAUGGACUCGGGGUGUGUCAGCUUGUUGGUGAGGUAGUGGAUUACCAAGGGGUGGACGGGUAGCCGAAUGGAGGGGGUGAUAGGCCGCACUGGGAGUGGGACGCGGCACAGAGGGCUAGGGGAGGCAGCAGUAGGGAAUGGGCGGCAAUGGGCGGAAGUCUGACCGAGCGAGGCCGAGUGAGUGAAGAAGGGUUCCGGAUCGGAAAGCUCUGUUGUAAGUGAAGAACGAGUGUGAGCGUGGAAAGUUCACAGUGUGACGGUAUCUUAAAAGAAAGGGACGGCUAACUACGUG
rnacentral:rRNA from 1 species